UUGAACGCUGGCGGCAUGCUUUACACAUGCAAGUCGAACGGUAACAGGGAGCUUGCUCCGCUGACGAGUGGCGAACGGGUGAGUAAUGCAUCGGAACGUGCCUAUUUGUGGGGGAUAACUACGCGAAAGCGUAGCUAAUACCGCAUACGCCCUGAGGGGGAAAGCGGGGGACCUUCGGGCCUCGCGCGAUUGGAGCGGCUGAUGUCGGAUUAGCUAGUUGGUGGGGUAAAGGCUCACCAAGGCGACGAUCAGUAGCGGGUCUGAGAGGAUGAUCCGUCACACUGGAACUGAGACACGGUCCAGACUCCUACGGGAGGCAGCAGUGGGGAAUUUUGGACAAUGGGGGCAACCCUGAUCCAGCCAUUCCGCGUGAGUGAAGAAGGCCUUCGGGUUGUAAAGCUCUUUCAGCCGGAACGAAACGGUACGCUCUAACAUAGCGUGCUAAUGACGGUACCGGCAGAAGAAGCACCGGCUAACUACGU
rnacentral:rRNA from 1 species